UGCCUAAACUUCGAAAACGUUAGGUUUCGUUAAGUUCUCGAAGCAUGGCAGUAAAACCGAGUAAGUGAACGGAAGCUCUCCGUUUAGCAACUUACUCGGUCAUGUGGGGAAACUUACAUGGAUGAUCUGAAAUGGUCAUC
rnacentral:sRNA from 12 species